CAGGCUGGGCGUACACACGUGCUACAAUGGCAUCUACAGUGGGCAGCUAUUCCGCAAGGAUGCGCUAAUCUCCAAAAGAUGUCUCAGUUCGGAUUGUCCUCUGCAACUCGAGGGCAUGAAGGCGGAAUCGCUAGUAAUCGCGGAUCAGCAUGCCGCGGUGAAUACGUUCCCAGGCCUU
rnacentral:rRNA from 1 species